rnacentral:rRNA from 1 species
CCUACGGGGGGCAGCAGUGAGGAAUAUUGGUCAAUGGGCGCGAGCCUGAACCAGCCAAGUCGCGUGAGGGAAGACGGUCCUACGGAUUGUAAACCUCUUUUAUCGGGGAGUAAAACGCCCUACGUGUAGCGUUCCGCGUGUACCCGAAGAAAAAGCAUCGGCUAACUCCGUGCCAGCAGCCGCGGUAAUACGGAGGAUCCGGGCGUUAUCCGGAUUUAUUGGGUUUAAAGGGUGCGCAGGCGGAAGAUCAAGCCAGCGGUAAAAUUGAGAGGCUCAACCUCGUCGUGCCGGUGAAACUGGUGUGCUUGAGUGAGCGAGAAGUAGGCGGAAUGCGUGGUGUAGCGGUGAAAUGCAUAGAUAUGACGAAGAACUCCGAUUGCGAAGGCAGCAUACUGGCGCGGAACUGACGCUGAUGCACGAAAGUGUGGGUAUCGAACAGGAUUAGAUACCCGAGUAGUC